rnacentral:rRNA from 1 species
GCGACACUGUGUGUUGUUGGGUAGGGGAGCGUUCUGUAAGCCUGUGAAGGUGGCCUGUGAGGGUUGCUGGAGGUAUCAGAAGUGCGAAUGCUGACAUAAGUAACGAUAAAGCGGGUGAAAAGCCCGCUCGCCGGAAGACCAAGGGUUCCUGUCCAACGUUAAUCGGGGCAGGGUGAGUCGACCCCUAAGGCGAGGCCGAAAGGCGUAGUCGAUGGGAAACAGGUUAAUAUUCCUGUACUUGGUGUUACUGCGAAGGGGGGACGGAGAAGGCUAUGUUGGCCGGGCGACGGUUGUCCCGGUUUAAGCGUGUAGGUGUG